UUUUCAUUUUUCAGACAAUGUUAAUGGAUUUUUCCGAUGAGGCCGGUUUUGGUUAUCGUUUCAAUGACGACGGCUGCUUCAAGAAAAAGGCUCUCCAUUGACCAAUGACUCUCCCUUCCUUGUUUUAAAAAAAAAAGAAGAGGCGAGAGCCACUCAACAAUGCCUUUUUUACAAGAAACCUCCAGGUUUAUCCAUCCAUUGGAGCUAGAGGAGGAAUACACUUUAUUAGAGGGAAAGCUAAGCUAAUAAUUGAUUUGCCCAGGUGCUGCUAGAUGGAACAUUUUAUCUUCAAGAUAUUAGUAACAAGAAUUUUCAAAUCUUACUACUUAUGAUCAGAAUCCCUGUUAAGCAAUGUUGUGAGAGGAGUCAAAACUCAAAAGGGUUCUUAUAGCAUUGGCAAAGAAUGUGUUUAUCUAGCUUUUGUUCUUAGCCAUCUUUUCUGGACGUCAACCUCGUGGGGGGUAAAGAUAUUUUUGCACAUGCUUCAAGAAGACCAAUACUGCAAUCUUUUGGUUGGGAUGAUAUUCCAGAGAAUCUUUGUACAGAUGGGAAAUCCACAUGUCUUUCAUGUUCUGCCUUAUGUCAGCACUGAGAGUUGAAUGAAGUAUUUAUCUCAAAACCAAGAUGUUUAAGUACUAUUUUAUCGUUCUUUAAGUCAACCUCUCAUGAGAAGACAACUCCAAAGAUAGCUUCCUAUUCUUGCCUCAUGGUUGUAGCUUUUGUUCUUCCGCAGAGGAACCCCAAAACCAAAUUUGUAAAAAGAAUAUUUUUUACUAAAUUGUCUAUAGCCUAUAAAAAAUCUCAGGACCCUAGAGAGUCACUAGUGGAGCACGAAACAGCAGCAUAUCUCGUAGCCUGCUCGGUUGUCUAAAAUGUUCCCAGCCAGUGCCAUUUCUGUUGUGCAAAGAUUCUUGAUCUCAGUUCCAUUGGUCAGUGAAUGACCACAACCUUAAAUCUUGUAUGUUUGGUUGUUUUAGAGAGCAUCUAAGACAAUGGAUCCUGUUAGUAACAGCUUAGAAAGUAGUUUCUCUAUAUAUGUCUGUUUGGGAAUCACAUUCAAGUCACAUGCUAAACUUGGAA